AGUGGGGAAUCUUGGACAAUGGGCGAAAGCCUGAUCCAGCCAUGCCGCGUGAAUGAUGAAGGCCCUAGGGUUGUAAAAUUCUUUCGACGGGGAAGAUAAUGACGGUACCCGUAGAAGAAGCUCCGGCUAACUUCGUGCCAGCAGCCGCGGUAAUACGAAGGGGGCUAGCGUUGUUCGGAAUUACUGGGCGUAAAGCGCACGUAGGCGGAUCGAUAAGUAAGGGGUGAAAUCCCAGAGCUCAACUCUGGAACUGCCUUUUAAACUGUCGAUCUGGAGCAGAGUAGAGGUGAGUGGAAUUCCGAGUGUAGAGGUGAAAUUCGUAGAUAUUCGGAGGAACACCAGUGGCGAAGGCGGCUCACUGGACUCUUGCUGACGCUGAGGUGCGAAAGCGUGGGGAGCAAA
rnacentral:rRNA from 1 species